AUUGAACGCUGGCGGCAGGCCUAACACAUGCAAGUCGAGCGUUCGUCGGACGGGUGAGUAAUGUAUGGGGACUGCCCGAAAGAGUGGGUUAACUACUGGAAACGGUGGCUAAUACCGCAUACUAUCGGAUAACCCAUAUGGGAUUAGCUAGUUGGUGAGGUAAUGGCUUACCUAGGCGACGAGCCCUAGCUGGUCUGAGAGGAUGAUCCGCCACACUGGGACUGAGACACGGCCCAGACUCCUACGGAGGCAGCAGUGGGGAAUAUUGCACAAUGGGCGCAAGCCUGAUGCAGCCAUGCCGCGUGUAUGAAGAAGGCCCUAGGGUUGUAAAGUACUUUCAGUCGGGAGGCGUUACCGACAGAAGAAGCACCGGCUAACUCCGUGCCAGCAGCCGCGGUAAUUC
rnacentral:rRNA from 1 species